ACCUGCUCCGGAUGCCCCACGCGGCGUCCGAAGUACCAGACACACACUGUGCCCGGGGAAGUUCUCGGCACUUCAGGGCGUU
rnacentral:sRNA from 1 species